UGGUCAAGUUAUUAAGGGUGCAGGGCGGAUGCCUUGGCACUAGGAGCCGAUGAAGGACGUGAUAAGCUGCGAUAAGCUUCGGGGAGUUGCACGUAAACUUUGAUCCGAAGAUUUCCGAAUGAGGAAACUCACUUAGAGUAAUGUCUAAGUAUCAUUAAGUGAAUACAUAGCUUAAUGAGGGGAACUCAGGGAACUGAAACAUCUAAGUACCUGAAGGAAGAGAAAGAAAUUCGAUUCCGUAAGUAGCGGCGAGCGAACGCGGAUUAGCCCAAACCAAUAAAGUUUUCUUUAUUGGGGUUGCGGACAUAUCAUAACGAAGAGGUAUCGUAAUUGAAGAGGUUUGGAAAGACCCACCACAGAAGGUAAUAGUCCUGUAUGUUAAACGAGAAGACUUUAGAUAUGAUCCAGAGUACCACGGGACACGUGAAACCCUGUGGGAAGCAGGAGGGACCACCCUCCAAGGCUAAAUACUACCUAGUGACCGAUAGCGUAUAGUACCGUGAGGGAAAGGUGAAAAGAACCCCGGGAGGGGAGUGAAAUAGAACCUGAAACCCUGCACUUACAAGCUGUGGAAGCACAUUUCUUGUGUGACCGCGUACUUUUUGUAGAACGGGCCAACGAGUUACGUUAAGUAGCAAGGUUAAGCACUUAAGGUGCGGAGCCGUAGCGAAAGCGAGUUUUAACUGAGCGUUCAGUUACUUGACGUAGACCCGAAACCGGGCGACCUACCCAUGAGCAGGAUGAAGCGAAAGUAAAAUUUCGUGGAGGUCCGAACCCACGAGCGUUGAAAAGCUCGGGGAUGACUUGUGGGUAGCGGUGAAAUUCCAAUCGAGCCCGGAGAUAGCUGGUUCUCCCCGAAAUAGCUUUAGGGCUAGCCUCAAGGUGAGAGAUACGGAGGUAGAGCACUGAAUGUCCUAGGGGGUAUUGCACCUACCGAAGACUAUCAAACUCCGAAUGCCGUCAUCUUAUACUUGGGAGUCAGACUGUGGGUGAUAAGAUUCAUAGUCGAAAGGGCAACAGCCCAGAUCGUCAGCUAAGGUCCCUAAAUGUAAGUUAAGUGGUAAAGGAUGUGGGAUUGCACAGACAACCAGGAUGUUGGCUUAGAAGCAGCCACUCAUUCAAAGAGUGCGUAAUAGCUCACUGGUCGAGUGAUCCUGCGCCGAAGAUUUCCGGGGCUAAAACUUACUACCGAAGCUACGGCAUCAUUAUGAUGGGUAGGGGAGCUUCCCAUACGGGUUGAAGCAUGACCGUAAGGACAUGUGGACAGUAUGGGAGUGAGAAUGUUGGCAUGAGUAGCGAGAUGUGGGUGAGAAUCCCACAGGCCGUAAACCCAAGGUUUCCAGGGGAAGGUUCGUCCGCCCUGGGUUAGUCGGGACCUAAGCUGAGGCCGAAAGGCGUAGGUGAUGGACAACAGGUUGAUAUUCCUGUACUACCGAUAACCGUUUGAGAGAAGGGAUGACACAGUAGGAUAAGCUAAGCACACUGUUGGUUAUGUGUGCCCAAGCAUUGAGGCAGUCAAAGUAGGCAAAUCCGCUUUGAUAAUGCUGGGAUGUGAUGGGGAGCGAAAUUUAGUAGCGAAGUAGCUGAUUUCACACUGUCAAGAAAAGUCUCUAUCGAGGUUAAAGGUACCCGUACCGCAAACCGACACAGGUGGGUGAGGAGAGUAUCCUAAGGCCAGCGAGAGAACUGUUGUUAAGGAACUCGGCAAAAUGACCCCGUAACUUAGGGAUAAGGGGUGCCACCAUCAGGUGGCCGCAGAGAAUAGGCCCAAGCGACUGUUUACCAAAAACAUAGGUUUCUGCUAAGUCGCAAGACGAUGUAUAGGAGCUGACGCCUGCCCGGUGCUGGAAGGUUAAGGGGAUCUGUUAGAGCAAUCGAAGCAGUGAACUUAAGCCCCAGUAAACGGCGGCCGUAACUAUAACGGUCCUAAGGUAGCGAAAUUCCUUGUCGGGUAAGUUCCGACCCGCACGAAAGGCGUAACGAUUUGGGCACUGUCUCAACAACAGACUCGGUGAAAUUGUAAUUCCGGUGAAGAUGCCGGAUACCUGCGACAGGACGGAAAGACCCCAUGGAGCUUUACUGUAGCUUGACAUUGGGUCUUGGUACUACAUGUACAGGAUAGGUGGGAGGCUUUGAAACCAGGACGCCAGUUUUGGCGGAGCCAUCCUUGGGAUACCACCCUUGUAGUACUGGGACUCUAACCAUAGGCCAUGAAUCUGGUCUUGGGACACUGUCAGGUGGGCAGUUUGACUGGGGCGGUCGCCUCCCAAAAGGUAACGGAGGCGCUCAAAGGUUCUCUCAGUACGGUCGGAAAUCGUACGUAGAGUGUAAAGGCAAAAGAGAGCUUGAUUGCAAGACAUACAGGUCGAGCAAGGAUGAAAAUCGGACUUAGUGAUCCGGUGGUUCUGCGUGGAAGGGCCAUCGCUCAACGGAUAAAAGCUACCCUGGGGAUAACAGGCUUAUCUCCCCCAAGAGUCCACAUCGACGGGGAGGUUUGGCACCUCGAUGUCGGCUCAUCACAUCCUGGGGCUGUAGUAGGUCCCAAGGGUUGGGCUGUUCGCCCAUUAAAGUGGUACGCGAGCUGGGUUCAGAACGUCGUGAGACAGUUCGGUCCCUAUCCGUCGCAGGCGUAGGAAAUUUGAGAAGACCUGUCCUUAGUACGAGAGGACCGGGAUGGACGUACCUCUGGUGUACCAGUUGUUCUGCCAAGGGCAUGGCUGGGUAGCUAUGUACGGAAUGGAUAAGCGCUGAAAGCAUCUAAGCGCGAAGCCAACUUCAAGAUAAGAUUUCCCACCGUAAGGGUAAGACCCCAGAAAGACUAUCUGGUUGAUAGGUCGAAGGUGUAAGUGCAGCAAUGUAUUUAGCUUAUCGAUACUAAUAGGUCGAGGACUUGACCAAU
rnacentral:rRNA from 1 species